UUUGGUUUGACGCCUGAAAUAAUGUGUUUAACAACAUUUUAAGAGAAAUGUUAACGUUAGACUAUAUUCGUCGUGUCCAAACUAACAUGGGGAAAGAGACGUCUGUAUGAACACUUUUUAAAAACAAGAAGAACACAAAGACUCUGCGCUUGAUUGAACCAGAACCACAUGGACCCAAGACCAGAGUCAUCAGAGGCAGGGCAGCUCAGGAUUCUUUAACCUCUUAAGCCCCAAGCCUGUUUUUCAGGUUUCAGGCUCGAAAAUGACAUGCCCAAAACAAAGGACUAUAACUUAACUUCUA